AUGUUAUUUAAAAUCGUAUAUCUGCAACUGAUUUGCAGUUUAUUAAUCGCACGGCAGCCUGUUAAUUUUACCAUUACUCAGGUCAAUAAUAGUUACCGAGUGUGAAUAUAACGAUGCGAGAAUUGACACAUUACUUGAUUGGGUAAAACUGUUUACUCUAUCUACCUCUAAAGUGUUUUGAACGUGUGCAAAGAUGGUUGUUGCUUCGUUGCUUGUGGAAGACUUUCAUAUUAUGGGCUAAGACAAGUCAUAAUAAAGCGUUGGCAAAUACAAAUUAAAUACGCCAAGGUCCCAUACAAAAUGGUAAUCAUUUCAUGGCUCACCAAGGAGGCGAAUUAAACAACCCAAUUCGUCUUAACAAGUAAAAGUCGUCGGAAAAAAACGAAACUGGCAUCGCUACCUGAUCAAAGUGUGCUUUUUGCUUUAAUUUUUUUUCAGUUUAUUCAUGUGAUUAGUGAAGGUUUGGCCUGGUUCAAUAGAUGUGCAACCCAAACGUCUCCAAUCUGAUCAGGCAGGAUGCGGUUAACUAAAUUGUUAGUUUGCAGACGCUCUAAAUGUACGCUAAAGCAGUUUUCACCAAUAAAUCCAGGAAAUAGAGGCGAUGAAUGGAUGUACACUGAGAGCUAACACUCGUGGCGUUCCGUCCGUUCCGGCGCAUACUCCAUAUACGUUUUUAUAUCAUUUUCCGAAGAAAUUUCAACUUGAGCAUGCAUUGAGGUCUUGGAACGUUUGUUUCACGAUAAAUGGCUUUUUUAAAUUAUCUAAA